AGAACGAGACGACAUGGCAUGGUAUUGACUUGGCUCAUCUCUCAUCCACAGCAAACUUCACAAGUGCCUGAGGUGAGCCGAGCCAAUAUCACUUCAUGUCAUCUAGCGU
rnacentral:pre_miRNA from 2 species